GCAAGUAAAUAAAGCAUGGAGGAUACAGAAGCAGCCGUGGAGGAGGUUUCAGCACAGUCUGGCUCCCACAUGUGCUGGGAUCGUUAGGAUGAUUUAUAGGGAAGAAUGCUAGCCUUUUUUCUUUUUUGCUUUAUAAUAAUACAUUAGGCUUUUAACCUCUGACCAAAAGAGGUGGAAGGGAGGAUUCCGAAAACACCAUGUUGCUCGGCUUGCAGCCUAGCCUGACCUGGGGAAAGCACCUCCCUUUCCCCCCACCUUCCUUGGAAAUAAAUCCAUCACCAGCUUCAGGAGGAAAGAAGGGAAAAAAUGAACCUCUCUUCUCAGUGUGUUUCAAGGCAAAGGUGGAAGCAACCCGGCAGGGAUGGUGCAGCGCACAUGCCGGUCUACUCUUUAGGCACUGAGGAAGCCUUUGUGGCCACAGGCAGUGGGGAUCCCUUGUCUUCUCCGGUUGGAACUGGCCAAGUCGAUGGCCGGGCCCCUCCUGCUCCUCUGGGGAGGAUUUGGAGAGCCAAGGAUUACCAAAAAGCUUCAGGAAAGAGGGGGCCCAGUAGGGCCAGCUUCUGAAAUGAAGGGGGAAACACCGCUGGAGUGCAUUUCUGACCCUCUCCAAUGCUGUCGGAGAGCUUUACAAAACAAAUCCUAAAGAAAUUAACUCUUAAGUGUUCUGAAACAUUAACAGCCAGCCCCUAUGCCUACCUCUAUGCUUGGAAAACAUAUUCAGGGGGAGCUGAAGUCAUAUAUGAAUAUGAAAAUAUAUCCAGGGGUAGUCAGAGAUAUCCUGGAUCCCAAGAGGAGUUACUUUAGCCAUUGAGAUCUUUCCAGACCAGCUGAACAACAGAAACAACAUCUGGUACAAAAUGUAGUCCUAUGAAUCUAAUAAUAUAAUUUUUUUUGUAUGAUUUAAAAAUAUAUCUUUUGGCAAUUGUCCAGACCAACUAAACAACAGAAAAAGAUCUGAUAUAAAAUAUAGGCAUGCAGCUCCCAACACUAUCACUUUUCCCUUGUAUGAUUUUAAAAAAAUCUUAUGAGAUCCCUCAAUAUCAACUGAACAACAAAAAGUAGCCCUAUGAUUCCAAUCUGUCAUUUUUCUUCUUUUGUAUGUUUUUAAAACAUCUUUUGCUUGAUGAAGAAGCCAUGAAAAAUCCAAAGCUUGAAUGAAGUAUUUUGCCCAUUUUGGUUGUUCUCUGUGUUCAAAAAUAAACCCCACUUGGAAUUCAGAGGGGCUUGCCUUAAGUAAGGGGGGCGAAGAUUUCAUCCUAAAAUUCUUGAUAAUGACCUGAAGAAGAGCUGUGUGUUUCUUCUUUUUAUUUAGAACUAGCUUAGGUAUCCAGCGAUGCUCGGGUUAGGUAAU